CACGUAGGAGGCGAGCGUUGUCCGGAAUCAUUGGGCGUAAAGAGCGCGCAGGCGGCUUGGCAAGUCGGGUGUGAAAUCCCGGGGCUCAACCCCGUGACUGCAUCCGAUACUGUCAGGCUAGAGGUAGGUAGGGGAGAUCGGAAUUCCUGGUGUAGCGGUGAAAUGCGUAGAUAUCAGGAGGAACACCGGCGGUGUAGACGGCUUUCUGGACCGUAGCUGACGCUGAGACACGAAAGCGUGGGUAGCAAACAGG
rnacentral:rRNA from 1 species